GAAGGUAUAGCUCAGUGGUAGAGUGCAUGCUCAGCAUGCAUGAGGUCCUGGGUUCAAUCCCCAGUACCUCCA
rnacentral:tRNA from 2 species